UGGGGAAUCUUGCGCAAUGGGCGAAAGCCUGACGCAGCGACGCCGCGUGGGUGAUGAAGGCCUUCGGGUUGUAAAGCCCUGUGGGGAGAGACGAAUAAGGCCAGUCGAACAGGCUGGUUGAUGACGGUAUCUCCUUAGCAAGCACCGGCUAACUCUGUGCCAGCAGCCGCGGUAAUACAGAGGGUGCAAACGUUGUUCGGAAUUACUGGGCGUAAAGCGUGUGUAGGCGGCUUGGCAGGUCGGACGUGAAAGCCUUCGGCUCAACCGGAGAAGUGCGUUCGAAACCGCCAAGCUUGAGUGUCGGAGAGGAAGGCGGAAUUGUCGGUGUAGAGGUGAAAUUCGUAGAUAUCGACAGGAACACCUGUGGCGAAAGCGGCCUUCUGGACGAACACUGACGCUGAGACACGAAAGCGUGGGGAGCAAACAG
rnacentral:rRNA from 1 species